rnacentral:rRNA from 1 species
AACGAACGCUGGCGGCAUGCCUAACACAUGCAAGUCGAACGAGACCUUCGGGUCUAGUGGCGCACGGGUGCGUAACGCGUGGGAACCUGCCCUUAGGUUCGGAAUAACUCCCCGAAAGGGGUGCUAAUACCGGAUAAUGUCUUCGGACCAAAGAUUUAUCGCCUUUGGAUGGGCCCGCGUUGGAUUAGCUAGUUGGUAGGGUAAAAGCCUACCAAGGCGACGAUCCAUAGCUGGUCUGAGAGGAUGAUCAGCCACACUGGGACUGAGACACGGCCCAGACUCCUACGGGAGGCAGCAGUGGGGAAUAUUGGACAAUGGGCGAAAGCCUGAUCCAGCAAUGCCGCGUGAGUGAUGAUGGCCUUAGGGUUGUAAAGCUCUUUUACCCGGGAUGAUAAUGACAGUACCGGGAGAAUAAGCUCCGGCUAACUCCGU